UGCCUCCUCGUGAGGCAGCGCUCCUGACAAUAGAACUGAACUUACUGUUCAGUACUUACUGUAUUUCUUGCAGAAGUGUGACACCAGUAUAACCAAUCAUUAUGACACAUUGCUGAGAAACACCGUUUUGCUCUGCUGUUGAUAUAUUUCCAAUUCAAAAUGAACAGGAGUGAUACUGGGAGUCAUUCAAGCCUUGAUUAGUACUUGAAUAGAUCAAGCAUACAUCUUCAUAUCCCAUUAGGAGAAGACAAUGCAAAGAAUUGGCCACCCCCAGCCAAGGCCCUGAACCCUGGGAGAGGUUUGUCCACAGAACAAAUGACAGAUACAUGGAAACAUGAACAUCAAAUACGCAGAGAGCGCAUCGUGAAACAGAAAGAACUGCAAGAUGUUCUUGACAAAUGGUGGCAGUGCUAAUGAGCGUCUGGACUAAAUAAUUAUACUCCCUUUUUGACUGAAAGUGCUUACAGGUCUACAUUAGCUCUGACCCAGCAAAGCAUUAACACCUGCUCAUAGCAAAGAUGCAGAGACUUGUGGGCUGUGAAGGCAGCGCACACGUGUGGGUAGAUAAAUGAACUGAGUGUUCAGGAGAGAAAUGCUCCUGCUGGCUCUUCCCAAAUGGCAGGAUCAGUACCCAAUAAACAUGCCAGUGAAAUGCUAUUCUUAAGACAGGAACCAGAAACUCCUUCUGAUUUUGUCGGCAGAGGAGCCUUGAGCCAGCCCUGUGGACCUGUGUGUUCAGAUUGCAAUGAAGACAACAGCACCCAGGCACCAGGGCAGCACUAAUCCUGUUUUCCAAAUCACAAUAGUAUCAAGACCUGUACCGGAUUUUUCACUGAGCCCCAUGUAAAGUGCAGCACAACAGAGGACCCUGUGUCACAAUGGGGACUUAUCCACCAGAUUGGAUCAUCAAGUCUUAACCUGUGUUAGGAUUCUGCUGCAGAAAUAUUCCCAGGGCUGAAGUUUAAAGCAGCAGCACUGGAUGACAACACUGAAAGCCAUGUGCAGAGGGACAAGGCACUCUUCUGAAGGGAUACAAACAAUAAACCCCUCUGCAUGUCUUGGUUGCA
rnacentral:lncRNA from 1 species